UACAGAGGGUGCAAGCGUUAAUCGGAAUUACUGGGCGUAAAGGGCGCGUAGGUGGUUAUGUAAGUGAGAUGUGAAAUCCCCGGGCUUAACCUGGGAACUGCAUCUUAUACUGCGUAGCUGGAGUGCAAUAGAGGGUAGUGGAAUUUCCGGUGUAGCGGUGAAAUGCGUAGAUAUCGGAAGGAACACCAGUGGCGAAGGCGGCUACCUGGAUUGACACUGACACUGAGGCGCGAGAGCGUGGGGAGCAAACAGG
rnacentral:rRNA from 1 species